rfam:Triticum aestivum genome assembly, contig: Triticum_aestivum_CS42_TGACv1_scaffold_513997_6BS
UUAAUACUCCCUCCGUCCAGAAAUACUUGUCAGAGAAAUGGAUAAAAGUGGAUGUACUUAGAACUAAAAUACGUCUAGAUACAUCGAUUCUUCCGACAAGUAUUUCCGAACGGAGGGAGUACUCA